GGAAUAUUGGACAAUGGGCGAAAGCCUGAUCCAGCAAUGCCGCGUGAGUGAUGAAGGCCUUAGGGUUGUAAACCCCUUUCAGCGGGGAAGAUAAUGACGGUACCCGCAGAAGAAGUCCCGGCUAACUCCGUGCCAGCAGCCGCGGUAAUACGGAGGGGACUAGCGUUGUUCGGAAUCACCAGGCGUAAAGCGCACGUAGGCGGAUUUGUAAGUCAGGGGUGAAAUCCCGAGGCUCAACCUCGGAACUGCCUUUGAUACUGCAAAUCUCGAGUCCGGAAGAGGUGAGUGGAAUUCCUAGUGUAGAGGUGAAAUUCGUAGAUAUUAGGAAGAACACCAGUGGCGAAGGCGGCUCACUGGUCCGGUACUGACGCUGAGGUGCGAAAGCGUGGGGAGCAAAC
rnacentral:rRNA from 1 species